UGCCAACGGCCGGUUUGAAUCUGUGGAAAUGCAGGAGCCCGGCUGUGAGAAGGCUGAGGAGGAGCCUCGGGCGGGCGAGCAGGGAAAAUUCCGAGAAGCCCUUUAUUAUAAACAGAGUUCCUGUUCACCUAAAUGAGGUCUCCCUCCUUCUCAGGAGCUGGGCAUACAUACACCUUCCCUGUCUUCUGUGUUUGCCAACUUUCCUUGCCUGGAGUCUUCCUCAUGCAUGACUUCAUACAGUUGAAAUGAUGAAGCUCAGAGCCACACUGAAAGCCACACUGAUGAAGCGACCACCAGCCUGGACGUGUGACUGACUGAAGACUUCUUCUGGACUCAGAUAUGUGCAUGACUUUUGUGUCUGAUCAUUAUAUUGUGGGUUUACGUAUUACUCUAAUUCAUAUAUGUUCCCAAUAUAUUGUCUAACCUUCUAUGUAGUAACUGUGGUGGUUUGAAUAUCUUCCAUAACCUCUGAGUACUUAGUCCCCAGUUGGUGCUGUUUGGGGAGGCUUAGGAAGAAUGUCACUGGGGGUGGGCUUUGUGAGUUCAAAGACUCCCACCAUUGACAGUCCGCUCUCUGCUCCCUGCCUGUGGUCCAAGCCAUGAGCUCUCUGCUGUUGCUCCAGUUGCCAAGCCUGCCUGCUGCCUUGUGUCCUCACCAUGCUGAUGAUGGACUCUUAUCUCUCUGGCAUCAUAAGCCCCAAAUACACCCUUCUUUCUAUAAGUUGCCCUGGUCACGGUGCUUUGCACAGGAAUAGAAAAGGAAUUCAUUCAGCAAUGGAUCACUUCCCUGAAGCCAACCACAGUGCCUGUGUGCAAAUAAGAAACCAGAGUGCUAAAGUUCACCAGGAAAGAGAAGGGAGCAGUCACCUGCACAGCUCUGCCAUUGACAUCGGCUCCGACGGACGCGGCCGUAGCAAUUGUAUUGGGCACCGCUGCUGUGCAUGUUUCGCUGGUGUGCAGGUACGACAUGGGUAUUUUCAAUUCACGGCUGGCCACCUACGAGAAAGGACGUAGUUCAAAUCCAAUAAAGAAUUCUAGAAAACUUAAGCCAUUGGAUUGCAUGGAAAAAUGAUCUUUUAAAAAGCAAUUUUUAUUACAUUUUAAUUUAGUUUUUAUGACUGUGUAGUAUGUACCAAAGCAUCCAUGUGGAGAUCAGAGGACAAUUUUCAGGGGUCAGUUCUUUCCUUCUACCACAUGAGUCUGGGGCUUAAACUACAGUGGUUAGACUUGGUGGCAAGCACCCUUGACCCACUGAGCCAUCUUGACAGCUCCUUUGUGGUCCGCCACCCCCCCUCCUCCCCUCUUCCUUCUCUCGCUGUGUCUCUGUCUCUCUCCCUCUCGCCUUUCUUUCCUUCCUUCUUUCCUUCCUUCUUUCCUUCCUUCCUCCCUUCCUUCCUUCCUUCCUUCCUUCCUUCCUUCCUUCCUUCCUUCCUUCCUUCCUUCCUUCUCUCCUCCUCCUCUUACUCUUCUUUAAGACAAGAUCUCACUAUGUUGCUCUAUCCUGGAACUCACCUUGUAGUCCAGGCUGUCCUCGAACCCAUGAAGAUCUGCUUACUUCUCCAUCCCAAGUGCCUGUGCUGCUACCCAUGGCAAUGUUACUCCCUCCCCCUUUAUUAUCUUAGUUUUUAUAGGUGUCCUUCAGAGAAGCUGAGAGGAAAAGAACAGAAAAUUUAAAAGUGAAUAGCAAAUACUAGAAAAAUAUAAGCAGGUGGGGGUUAAAUAGAAAUGAAAAGAGGAAGAUCUGAAAAAGCCAGUCUGAUCCGCCUGGAGUGGGAGUUACAGGCUGUUGUGAGCUGCCUGACAUGGGUGCUUGGAAUUGAAUGGGUCCUUUGGAAAAGCCAUGGACACGUGGUAAAAAACCUGCCUCAAGCAAAACAAAAAACCAAAAAGCAAACAAACAAACAAAAUGGGGCCAGAGGGCUGACAAGCAUGUCUGUCCCUGGGAACUUUAUGGUCUCAUUAGGGUCCUUACUCUGCCUCUGGCAUUUGCCUUCCUUUCUCCAGGACCAUAUUAUUUACAAUGCUAGGUAGACUUCUCCACUGCACAGAAUUGCUACGGAUGACCCCUGACCUUCAGCCUAGCUCAUAAACAACCCUGGGGAGAGAUUCCUCUCAGAGCAGCUGCUUGUCUGUCUUAGAAAAGGAGGCUGGCUGACCUUGCACGAACCAUAUACUUUCUUUCCUGCACUUGAUGGGGUUCACUGGGUCUGGAUCUUGCAUUCCUGUCUGGCAGGAGUGUGAGCAAGGAGGAGAGGCCUGAAUGAGGAGUCCUUUGGAACAUGUGUACUGUGGGAGGCAAUUCUAAGGGAGCUAAGGGGUCAGGUGAUGAAAGCUACACUGUGAUGAUCUGAAGGGUUGCAUGUGCUUAAUUUAAAGGAUUAUGGUUUUUUCUGAGAUCACAUGUCUUUAAAAUUAUAGGUCAUGGCUGGUUAGUUGGCCUAGCAGAUAAAUGUAUUUACCACUGAGCCCGAUGAGCUAUGUCAGAUACCCAGAACUCACGUGGUGGAAGGAGAGAACGGACUCUCCUAAAGUGUCCUCUGAUCUCCACAUAUGUCAUGUGUACUGAGUGUGUGUGCACAUGCAUGAGGAGGCAUAAACACACAAAUGUUGGUUUUUCUUUUUCUUUUGUUUCUUUCUUUCCUUUCUUUGUUCUUCCUUUCUCUUUCUUUUCCUCCUCCUCCUCCUUCUUCUCUCUGUCUCUCAAAGAUUUAUUCAUUUCUUCAUUUUAUGUAUGUGAGUACACUGUAGCUGUCUUCAGACACACCAGAAGAGGGAAUCAGAUCCCAUUACAGAUGACUGUGAGCCACCAUGUGGUUGCUGGGAUUUGAACUCAGGACCUCUGGAAGAGCAGUCAGUGCUCUUAACCUCUGAACCAUCUCUCCAGCAUCCCCCCCACCCCCCGACUUCCUUUCUUCUUUUUUUGUCCUCUGAGACAGGGUUUCACUAUUAUAGUCCUUGCCUGUCCUGGAAUUCUCUCUGCAGACAAGGCUGGUCUCAGACUCAGAGAUCCACCUGUCUCUGCCUCCUAAGCGCUGGGAUUACAGGUGUGCGCCACCACCUGGCUAUUAGUUUUUUUUUUUUUUUUUUUUUUUUUUUUUUUUUUUUUUUUUUUUUUUUGGAGACAGGAUUUCUCUGUGUAACCCUAGCUGUCCUGGAACUUGCUCUGUAGACUAGGCUGGACUUGAACUCAGAAAUCUGCCUGUCUACAUAUCCAGAGUGCCAGGAUUAAAACUGUGUGCAACCACACCAGCAUCUUAAUUUUUAAAUGAAAGAGAGAUGGUGUUAUAGCUCAGUGUUAAAGCACUUGCCUAGCAUGCGAUUAGCCCUAAAUUUAACCCCUAGUACUAAAUGAGAGAGACAGAGAGACAGAGACAGAGAGACAGAGAGAAUUAGUUACAGAAUGUUGAUAGUUGGGGAUUUAGCUCAGUGGUAGAGCGCUUGCCUAGCGAGCACAAGGCCCUGGGUUCGGUCCCCAGCUCCGAAAAAAAGAAAAAAGAAAAAAAAAAAAAAGAAUGUUGAUGGUUGAUGAAUUGUUGGUUCUCUCCAAUUCCUUGUUAUUUAUGUGGGUGUAUGGAGCCUCCGUCAUAGUGUUCUGCCAGCUCAUGACUGGUGACUUCACUAAUAAUCUCUUCCACCUCUCACCCUUGGCCAAGUUCCAGGAGCAUUUGUAUGUGCAUAGGAUUUCUGUCACAGUGUUCAUCAGAGUUUAUAUGCAAGAAACUUUUCAACAGGUCAAAGUCUUUACGUUUGAAUGCACUGUCACCAUUUACCUUAAAAGACACCCCAAGUAUCAGUCAUGUGAACGGUGGUGGAAAGAUGAAUUUUCUUGGUUUUACCUGUAACAUUUUGGUGUGAAUGCCUUGUCCCAGCUCAUUGCCUCCAUGUGCCACCAACACAGAGCCGUCGGUGUAGAUGUGAACGAGCGCGGCUGCCUGUAAGACAAUCCAGAAGGAGCACUUCAGUGAGUGUUGGUGAAUUCAAUAUAGGAAAGGAGGGAGAGCCUGGGAGGUGGCAUAGGGGUUAAGAGCACUGGCUGAUCUUGCCGAGGACCCAGGUUCGAUUCCCAGCACCCACAUGGCAGCUCACAACUAUAACACCAGUUCCGGGAAAUACAGCUUUCUCUUUUGGUUUUAAUGGGCAAUGCACACACAUGGUACAAAGACAUAUAUGCAGGCAAGAUUCUCACACACAUAAAAUAAUUUCUAAAAAUUUAGGAUAAGAAAUGAGGUAGUGAAACCUUCCUCUCUGGAGCGAGGAAGUCAAAGAUGUAAGGUUUCCCCUAUGGCCUUGAACUUACUUCUACUCUACCAAAAGUCAACUGGAAAGAAUUUCCCUAUGUAGCAAUCUGGAUUUUUUUUUUUUUAGACAGAGUCUUACUUAGCUCUAGCUGGCUAAGAACUCCUUCAGGCUGGCCUUGAACUCAGAAAUUUGCCUGCCGCAGUCCCCCAAGUGCUAGGGUUAAAAUCAUGUCUGAUCAAACCCUCUUGGUCUCAACUACUUGACAGUCAACUCCAUUGGGGGCUGAUUGUGCAACUACUGAAUGGAUACUUUCCUGGUCUCCAUUUAGACACAAACAUGAACAAGCUGCUUCGAGCGGGGCAUAAGAUGGUGGGGACUCAGGCUGACAUCCAGUCACUGAGGGGCAGAAUUUCAGUGGCUCAAGGCUGUGGAAAAUGGGUUCUGUGAGAGCUUUACCAGUCUGACUUGAACAGCAGCUGGGUGACUAAUAGAUGGGUUCGACCAUCAUAGUAACUGCCCAGAGUUAGCAUAGACUCCGCAAAUCAAGGGUUAAAUUCCCUGACGAGACAAUGACAAGGGACAGAAGUGAGCGAGGUGACUCCCUUUUGCCUGUUGCUGAGAGCCCUGCUCCUUGUCACAGCUGUCCUUUGGGGUCUGGUCUCACCGCCACCCCACUACAUUACUGUCUCUUCUUGACUUGUCCAAUCCCACCAUGACUCCUCUCGGACCCUGACUCCUGCUCUGCUGUCUGCAGUUCCUGAAUGGCUCCCUGCUCUCCAUCUGUCCAGCAUUCAGACCCGCAGUCUCCACUCUCUUAACAUUCCCUGCAGCACCUGACCAUUUCUGGGAAAGCCCCAUCACCUCCUCCAUCCUUCCUCUUUCAAGUUCUGGGUGCGACAGUGGCUCACCCCUCCUAGUUCGCCUCUGCCUCAGAACAUGUCCCGAGCUGGAAAUAGUUUUUGCAGAUUUAAUUAUUUGAGAUGACUAAUAGAAGUGGGCGCCAAAUUCAACAACUGGUGUCCUUAGCAGACUCUGGGGAUAACACCAGGGAUGAUGGCCCACGAAGCUGGAAGCAGCCAGUGGAGUUACAUUGCUAUAAGCCAAGAAGCGGCAGGAGCCAGAAGAGGCUGGGAGAGCCUGGAGGCCUUGGAGGUUCUGCUGAUACCAUGACUCUGAACCUAUAGAACUGAAGGACACACACACACACACACACACACACACACACACACACACACACAUCAUUUGAGUUGCCCAGCAUGUAAUAAUUUGCUGUAGCUACCACAGGGUACCCCGGGGACCAAAGCUCUGCUCUGAAAUUCCCCAAACAAGGCUGGCCUUGUGUGACUGUGUCCUAGAGAGAACGUGAGCAGGUUGGACUCACAGAGACUGUGUAGAUUUUGUUAAGUGAGAUGAGUGAAAAGGUGGUGUUUUUCCUCCCAGUCUGGAGAUGCCUGCAGGCUCCGGGAUGGUUUGGAGGGGUUAGACAGCUUGGAGGUAGGUGCAUGGUGCUAAUAAUAGUAUCUAUUCACGGUAGCCUGUGGCCACAGCAGUACCACUCUGCUUCCCACUGUUUGUGAGGAGGCGUUCCAGCUGUGUCAGCAGCUGACCUGGAAUGACUCUAGCCAGACCUGGCCAAGUGGUUCUUGGGCAUCUCAAUUUACAGCUCUGUGGGGAAGCUGGAGGCCUUUCAGAUGGAGACGAACAGUCAUCCGCUGAGGUAAAGUUUUGUCUAAUGUGGCCAAAAGAAGACCCAGCACCGGGGUUGGGGAUUUAGCUCAGUGGUAGAGCGCUCGCCUAGCAAACCCUGCGUUCGGUCCCCAGCUCCGAAAAAAAAAAGAAAAAAAAAAAAAAAAAAAAAAAAAGAAGAAGAAGACCCAGCACCUAGGGAUGACAGUGGAGGGGCUGUAGGUUUUGUGCAAAGGGGCCAUAUAGAUGACAAAACUAGGUCCUUAGUCUUGUUUCUGGCUCUUGGCACAGUGCUUCCUACUGUCAAGUCUUGAAAAGUGCUAUCUUUUGCCAAGGAGGUGCCUCAGGAGGUACUGGGAUAGGUUCAGGGUGAGCGGGUCAGCCUGUGUGCAUGUUUGUGUGUGGGUGGUGCUGCUGGUGAUGGUGUAUUCCAGGCCCACUGCACCUUUCUGAGUUCUGUCCACUUCUUGGGGGUUGAACACCCAGAAGACAAGCUCUUUGUCCCUCCCCAGUGUCCUGCCUUAGGCAUCUCUCCCAUUGGCUGCUUUGGAGUGUGUCAUUUGUAUUAGCUGGCAAUGAGAAUGCAAUGUAAAAAGCUUUCCUGAGUUUUGUGAUUUGUUCUAGAAAAUCAUUACAGCUAAAAAACAAAACAAACAAACAAACAAAAAAACCAUUAUUGGGAUAGUGGUGCAUGGGGUACCUCUCAACUUAGUGGUCAUUUAGGCAGAAGUAUGUAUUCGUAGCUGAUGUCAGAGUAGAUAAAGUCUGUGGAAUUUAACCCUUGAUUUGUGGUGACUAUGCUAACUCUGGGCAGUUACUACCAUGGUUGAACCCAUCUACUAGUCACCCAGCUGCUGUUCAAGUCAGGCUGGUAAAGAUAUGAUAUUUGGUGGCAGAGAAAAACCACACUGGUGGCCAUCCAGGGUCCACUGAUUCAGUCCAGCUAAUGGAUGUGAGAACUAACCCUGUACCCAUCUAUGGAAUGGUCAGACUGCACCCAAGCAGGGAUAUGACCCAGAAGCUGAGGGUAUCUUAUCCUCCCCGUCAGGGGAGGAAGAGCCCUGAGAGAUGUGUCUGAUCUCUCUUGGGAGGGGCUUAGGGUUACCCUGGCUGACUUCCAGAAAGGUCAAGGAAUCUUGCCAAGUGCCCUAUAUUAAUUUUCUCGGCCAGUCAUCAUCAGUCCUAAGAGACUGUUAUUGUUAGUCUCACUUUACAGUUGAUGGAGCUAAAGCUCUGAAAGUCUGAAGAACUUUAAUGUCACACAGCUAGCAAAUGGCAGACCAAGAGCGGCUCGGGGUCUCCUUUCUGACCCCAGUUGACUAAGAAUUGGGAUCAACUGCAUGAGGCCCUCAUGCUUGCCACCAAAGCUUCUUGGCACAGUGACCCUUUUCCUACUACCACAUGAAGCCUCUCAUGCGUCUGCACUUUCUCCUAGGUAUAUUCAGGGAGGGGCCUGGUGCUUUGGGAAGUGUGGCAUCCUCUGAAACCAGAAUCGGUUGAUUGGACCAAGAUUGUGUUGGACAUAAGGUCAUUUACCACACGCUGCGUGUGUGUGUGAACUUUACCUGAUGAUAGCUUGUCGCAGCAAAGCCAACUGAAAACUUCAUGGGGACGACCGCAAUGCCUCUCUUCCUCCAGUAACUCUUCUUAUUGAACUCGUCCACUCUUGUCCUUCUAAUGGCAAAGGAAGACUUGUCCAGACACUCGUUCCAGCACCUUAUCAGGGGUUCGGGGUUGAACGCUUGUUUGUAGAUGGUUUUAUCAACUGUUUUGUACAUGUUUUUCUCCCUAAUCUGAAACAAGUGUGAACUUCCAUCAGAACUUAUGGUGAGACAGACAGACAGACUUUUUCCCAUUGUUUUUGAAUGGCACAAGCUGCUGUGAGAAUGGUGGGACUACUUUUCAUCUCCUCAUUAAUGCACCAGCUAGGGUCUCUCUGUCUGAAGUAAAGUGCAGUUGACAGUGACUAGUCUAAAAGGGAGUAUGAUGAAAGCCUAGGGAGGUAGGUUACCUCCCUCCCUUCCUCCCUCUCUCCCUCCCUCCCUACUCAUUCACCUAUCAUCUAUCUUUCUAAGUACAAUCUAUCUACCUAUCUAUCUUAUAUCCUGUGUGUGUGUAUGUGUGUGCGUGUGUGUGUGUGUAUGUGUGUGCGUGUGUGUGUACAUGCCCUGGUAUAUGUGUGGACAUCAGAGGAUGACUCUUGGGAGUCCAUUUUCUCCUUCUACAGUGUGGUUGUCAGGGAUAAAACUCAGGUUAUCCAGCUUGGCAGCCUUUUCCCUCUGAGCCAUCCUCCUGGGCCAUGGUUUUCUUUUUCAAAUCGCAGAGCUCAGGGGAUGGAGCAGAGCCAGUUAGAGUGUCUUAAAGCCAGGCUCUACUGUCACGAGUGAAGCCUGUUCUGUUACUGAGAAAUCAGGAAACAGAUAAUGACAAACGGCAGAUCUUUAAGUCUUCUGAUUGCAUGAUUAAGUCUUUUCAAGUUUGUGUGUGAACAGGAUCGGCUUCAUAUCCUGGGAAUUUCGACAUCCAGCAAAGGAGAUCCUACUGGAAAUGGUUGGGGGAGUGGUUUCAUCAUUUCCAACUUCUGACAGAAGUAAAAGAAUGCUGUAUUGCCACCAGCAACAACACUGGAUUUUUAAAGAAUAUGCAGAUGAUAAAAUCUUUUUUCUUUUACUUUUUGUUUGUGUAUCUCUGGUGUUGGAGCCCAAGGCUUUGUGAAUGCUGGCUGAACUCUCUAUCCCUGAGCUACAGUCUCAGCCCCACGAAAAUGAAUGUUUUUGUAAAAGUUUAUUUCUCAGAAAUUCUGUGAAGUAAACCAUCUUGUUCUUCUAGCCAAGGCAUCUGGGGCACAGAGGCCCACUGUUCCUCCUAUCCCAUUUGCUUCGACCGCCUCUCCAUACUGUUCCUCAAGCUGAACCUCGUGCCAUCUUCUCCAGAAGGUUAUGUUUUUUUGAGUCUCCAAAAUCUCAUCCUGAUGUGAUAUGCCUUCCUCCUUGGACCCAUGGGCACCUUUUGUGAAGUCUUAUAGAAAUUUAUUAUUAUUCUGAAAUACGCUGUAUAUGGACUAGGUGUUCUCUGGUGCAGAGGAAAUACUCUGCCAAUCAAAUGAAAACCUGGGGGUCCCAUUGACUUUAGGCACAAAGAUUCUCCAGAGACAACGCAUAGAGAAUCCUUGCGGAGCAGCGGGUCUGGAUCAUGAAGACAGGGUGGACAUGGAGCACGCACUCAGAUGUGAUGGAACAGAAAUGUUCUUGCCCUCCAACAUGAACCUUCCCUGUGAGGGGCAAGGGCAGGAACAUGCCUGGAGCACAUGCUGGCUGGAAGCUGCCAUCGUUGGAGCGUUUUACAUGAAGAAGGGUGUGAACUGCCCACCUGCAGUAGUGCCCAGCAAGGAACCUGAUAUUCACCGCGUGACAAUCGAGCUUUUUUUCAGGGCACAGGAAUGAAUUGUGCUGUAUGGCAUCCUAUGCAAAAGGACGAAAACACAAAGACAGUCAUCCCUUCUCUUUGCUGUUGCCGGCUAGUAGAUUCCCCCACAUUGUUGCCUCCUGGGACACAAGAAAGGUAUCAUCGAGCGUUCAAGAGGUCUAGAGUACACAAGGUGUCAGAGGGACUGUCUUCUACAUUUGCAGAGAAAGUCAGCCAGAAGGACUAGGGAAACAUGAAGAAGGAAGCCAUUUUCAGAACGGAGGCUGGGCUCAGAGGGAUGCUCUACUGAGAGAACACUUGCUCACUUUUAGCAUGGGUCUCUAGGAACAGUGCUGGGUGCCCAGACACCAUGGGGGAGCUGCUGAGCCCUCCUUUUCCAUGUCUCCCUGAGGAAAAAGGUGUGUUAGAUACUAGGUAGCUACACAUGUGAACCUCUUCUUCACUCGGGAUCUUGAUGGAUCCCGUGUUGAUGGAGAGGACACAGGUCCUCACACUCUGAUAGGGACAAGAAGACAUAGUAUACAUUGUAAUUCCUUUGGGUAUUGGACAUAUUUCUAAAGAACCUUUCUAGAGUUUUGUUCUUCCCCACUCCCUUCCUCCUCCAACUCUACUCUCUGGCAUUAGCUUGAACUGAUAUCCCACGUGGAAGCCAUUCUUCUCCUUGGUUCUGUGGACUGAUUUACCACAGCCGAUUCUUGCUAACCCUGUAGACCCAGUCUGUCCUUCUGCACUUCAGAAUGACAUUUGUCUCUUGCAUUCUUGGAGUCCAAAGACACUAGAGUCCGUCCACAGCCUUUCCUUCUUGUUAAUGGUAAUAGUGAGAGCGGCUACUUUCUAUUGAGUAGCACUUUGUGACAAAUUAUUGCAUAGCAGUUUCCCUUGAGUUGAUAUAUGCUACACUGCAGAGAAACUUGGGACACUCUGAAUCAAGGUUCCUUAAGACUCAGGAUUCUCUAAAUGGAGGCUCGUUAAGACUCAGGCAGUUAAAGGGGUGUAGCAAUGCAUGCCUUUAAUCCCAGUACUUGAGACCCAGAGGCAAGAGAAUCUCUGUGAGUUAGAGGUCAGCUUAGUCUCACAGUGAGUUCCAGGACAGCCAGAGAUAUGCAAUGAGACUCUCUCUCAACAAAAUCAAAAAACUCAAGUGGUGGCUGGAGAGAUGGCUCAGCAGUUAAGAGCACUGGCUGUUCUUCCGGGGGAUCCAUAUUCAAUUCCCAGCAUCCACAUGAUGACUCAUAACCAUGCACUGUGGUUCCCAACCAUCCAGUUCCAUUUCAUAUGAUAAUCCUCUGGUGGUUUGAAUAGGUUUGGUACUCAUAGAGUCGUGCAUUUGAAUGCUUGGCCUAUAGGGAGUCGCACUAUUAGGAGGUGUGGCCUUGUUGGAGGAAGCGUGUCACUGGCUUUUGGCUAACUUUGGAUCAAGAUGUAGAACUCUCCUCCAGCACCAUGUCUGCCUGGAUGCUGCUAUGCUUUUUUUUUACCAUUGAUGAUAAUGGACUGAACCUCUGAACCUGUAAGCUAGCCCCAAUGAAAUGUUUUCCUUUAUAAGAGUUGCCUUGGUCAUAGUGUCUCUUUGCAACAAUGGAAAUCCUAACUAAGACACCCUCUUUUGGCUCCCUGGCAAAAUAUGUUCAGACAACACCCCCUGUUUACUGUUUUUUUUUCUUUUUAAAGGUUUAUUUAUUUAUAAGUACAUUGUAACUGUCUUCAUACACACCAGAAGAGGGCAUCAGAUCUCAUUACAGAAGGUUAUGAACCACCAUGUGGUUUAAUGGAAUUUGAACUCAGGACCUCUGGAAGAGCAGUCAGUGCUCUCAACCACUGAGUCAUCUCUCCAGCCCAAAGGAAAGUCUGUUUGCUGUUUACUGUAGUGCUAAGUGCUGGCCCCCAAAAUCUGGAGUUUGCAAGUAGAUUCUGGGAACUUGCCCCCAGUUAAUUCUGAUUGGUAAAUAAAGAUGCCAGCAGCCAAUAGCUGGGAAGAAGAGACAUAGGCAGGGCUUUGGUUUCCUGGACAAGAGACCACGAGGAAGGAAGAGAGCCUUAUGACCUAGAAGAGUGUGCAAGAGAGAGACAAGAAUGGCCAUAGGAUAGAGAAGCAAGAAGAGUGUCCUGGUCCAGGAGAACGUGGCCCAGAGGGCUGACUAAUUGAAGUUAGGAACAUAGAAAUUAGUAAGUAGUAACUCAGAAUUAUUGGUACGAGGUAGACGCUAACAGCAUGGAGGGUAGGCAGUUAAGCUAUUUGUAAAGCUAUUAUAAAGUGUCUCUCUCUCUCUCUCUCUCUCUCUCUCUCUCUCUCUCUCUCUCUCUCUCUCUGUUUUAUCCAGGAACAUAAAUGGUCAAAGGCAGGAAGGAACCACACCAGGAUUUAUUAAAAUAUUCAUACUACAAAUGGCACCUUAAACCCACUUUAAAAAAAGGUAAUUAGAGAUUCACGAAUGGAAAACACAUUCUGCCCCUUUAAGAUUAGGAGGAAAGGAGAAUCAGUUUCUUAGCUGAGCCUCAUGGUUUCUCCCCAACUUGUGCAGGGACUAGGACAAAAUUCAUGCUAAAUUGGCACGCACAAUUCUUGGAUUUACGGCGUAAAACUAAGACACAGCUGUACCCCCAAGACGACCCAAGCACACUGGGCAGGAGGCUAGGGAUUCAGCCUGAGGUUUUCUCAAAUGCUCUUAAGUUUUGGCUGAGAGCCUAAGCCAUGGAGUGGGGAGCUCCUGCAGGCUAUGCAGAGAGCAGGCCUAAAUACGAUAGGAAUGGAAAAAUUAAUGGAAAUUUAAAAUAUCAAUGCUAUAUAAACAGUACUUCUUUGAACAUGACUCUAUGAGAAUUCUAGGAUCACUUAGCAUGGCAUUGGCCCAUAUUUUGGCCUAAGAAUAGGUUCAUACAGAAAGUAGAAGGGAAUUUGAUUGAGGUUAAAUACAUAGGAAAGGAUGUUACUUCACUUCAUAGAAAGAGGAAGGGGAUAGAAUCAUAUAUCCCCAGAGAUAUUACUGUCUCUAGAGGGGAGGAAUAAAUGAAACUUGCCUUGAUUGCUUUAGAGGAUAGAAGGAAGAAUGAUGGUAAUUGCUUUAAGUGUUUUUUUUUUUUUUUUUUUUUUUUUUUUUUUGGUUCUUUUUUUUCGGAGCUGGGGACCGAACCCAGGGCCUUGCGCUUCCUAGGUAAGUGCUCUACCACUGAGCUAAAUCCCCAGCCCCCCUUUAAGUGUUUUUAAGUAAUAAUUUGUACUGGCUGGUUUUGUGUGUUGCCUUGACACAAGCUGGAGUUAUCACAGAGAAAGGAGCCUCCCUUGAGGAAAUGCCUCCAUGAGAUCCAGCUAAAAGGCAUUUUCUUAAUUAAUGAUCAAGGGUGGGAGGGCCCAUUGUGGGAGGUGCCAUCCCUGAGCUGGUAGUUCUGGGUUCUAUAAGACAGCAGGCUGAGCAAGCCAGUAAGUAACAUCCCUCCAUGGCCUCUGCAUCCACUCCUGACCUGCUUGAGUUCCAGUCCUGACUUCCUUUGGUGAUGAACAGCAAAGUGGAAGUGUGAGCUGAAUAAACCCUUUCCUCCCCAGCCUGCUUCUUGGUCAUGAUGUUUGUGCAGGAGUGGAAACCCUGACUAAGACAUAACUGCUUUAAAUAGUUUUAAAGAGAUACUAAUCUCCAUAGAAGGGAGGAAUAAAUAAAAAAUUGCUUUAAUUGUUUUAAGGAUAGAAGGGAGAAAGAAUGGUAACUAAGUGUUUUUAAGUAUAAAUGGAAGAAUAAAGAAAUCUAGGCCUUUGAUCUCAAAUGUAGGAAACAAAGGCAUGGAGAUACCGAGAAACCCUAUCUCAAUAAAUAAUAUUAAAUAUUUUAAUUGUUUUGAGUUGUUUUAAUUAUCAAAAUGAAGGUGGUUCAUAGCUUGCUGGUAUUAAUGGCAUUAGUAAUCCUCUUGGAGGGAGGUCAGAGUAGAGCUGGCCUAAAAAGAGGCUGCUGAAUGGAGUCGAUUGCCUUCCUGUUGCCUGACCAAGGACAUGCUAUUUUGGGAGAGAGGCUCUGUAUUGUGUUGUUAGGAAAGAAAAAAAGUUACUUUCAAAGGGAUAUGGAUCGGAUAUGAUAGAGGAAGACCCCCUGAAGACCUUAGCUACGCACAGAAAAAUUCAAGAAGACCAAAUAUGACAGGUAACAUGAACAUGAUCCCUCCACCGGGGAGCAGCUCUGAAACUGGCUGAGACAUAAAAACGCCUCUAGCCAAAUGAAUCUUGUUAGUUACGGGAUCCUAAAAUUCGCCUGCCAUCCUUCCUUAUGGCACCACUCAUAAAAACAGACAGUUAUCUUUCACUUGCUCGAAGAGCAAAAAUUCAUCCUUAACUGAUCUGCACACCUUGCACAAUCUAUACGAAUAUCUUUACAGAACUAAAUAUUGGUUGUAAGAUUCACAUGUUGUGAAUGAAACCCCAUUUCUGACAAGAUUCAUCCUCAGGGAUGCUGAGGUGACCUGCUGUUCCAGCUCCCUGUCUGAUCCUGCCUCACCCCAGGCUGUUUCCCGAGACUGUGCUUCCAGAACAGCUUCAGGAAGUCUGCUAAUCCCAAUGACCUCAGUUUAUCCAGCCUUUCAGAUGGCUCUAGUGAGGACUUCAGUUAAGCCCUGAACUUUCUCACCAUACAGAGACUGGACAAUAAUGCUAAAACUAGCUUUCUUAAGUCUAAUCAAUUUUUAAAAUUUUCUUGCCCCUCCUCUCUCCUAAAAAAAAAAACAAAAAAAGGAAUUCUUCACUCUCAAGUCAGCAGGAAGCAGUCAAAGAAAAUUGAUGUUUCAAUCCCUUAAAUCAGGGCAUCUGGUUUUGGUUAUUGUUUAUCAAUUAUAGAUAUAUUGUCAUUUUAAGGGAUAAUUUGGAAAAAAUUAUAGUUUUGGACAGAGGAAACUAAAUAGGUUAGAUUUGAGGAUUUCUAUUUUUCCUCUUUCUUAGGUAAAGGGAAGGGAGUUGACAGGAAAAAAGGGUGUUAGAGUAAUAUAGACAUUAGAUAAACGGGGAUGGAUUAUUAAUGUUACUCUUUUUUUUUUCUUUCUUUUUUUCGGAGCUGGGGACCGAACCCAGGGCCUUGCGCUUGCUAGGCAAGCGCUCUACCACUGAGCUAAAUCCCCAACCCCUUAAUGUUACUCUUAAACAAAGCAUUUUAGAGCCAUAAUCUUACAUUGGUAGAAAUCUUUGUAUUUUGAUGCGGAAUUGAGAUUAUAUAUAAAGAGAAAGGGGAUAUAAUUAUAAAUCCAAAGAGAUUGAUCUCAAUAGAGGGGAGAAAUAAUGGUGACAUAUAGCCUAUAAGGCACCUCCAUAAACUCACUGCUUCACAAAGUUGGACUUUAUUAUUUAUUAGUGAUUUAAUGAUUUAUUAUCCCAUCUGUCAUUGUGGUUCCCUGACUGGGAUGAGUGGGUACCUGGUCAUGUCUCCGCUGAAAUCGUGUCACUUCAUAGUAGCAGUAUAUAUGUACCCACAUGUAUAUUGUAUUACUUCUACCAUUACCCCUGUUUUCAAGAUGAAGUAAUGGGAUUCAGAGAGGAGACAAUAACUCUCAAGCCAGGCUACAACUAUGUGAGGCAGGAAGCAUGCAAGCCCAGGCCUAGUGUCUAGAAACAUCUUGCCUAGGUUUGUGGAAGUGUCUCAGUAACAGGAAGCUAGCUUAGCAUAAGCCCAUAAAGCCCUGGUUCUGCAAAUACAAAGCCGUCUCUCCCAGUGAUAGCAUGUGAUCUCUUAAAGCAGUGCAAAAUAAACACGGCACUUGAAAAUUUUACUUUCCUCAUUAACACUUGGUCUUAGUGUUUCUAUAGCUGUGACGAAACGCCUUGAGCAAAAGUCAGUUGGGAAGGAACUGGUUUAUCUGGCUUACACUUCCACAUCACAGCUCAUCAAAGGAAGUCAGGACAGGAACUCAAGCAUGUGGGAACCUGGAGGCAGGAGCUGAUGCACCACGGAUGGGUGCUGCUUACUGGCUUGCUCCUCAUGACUUGCUCAGCUUGCUUUCUUACAGAACACAGGACCACCAUCCUACAAUCAACAACUGAUUAAGAAAUGCCCUACAGGCUUGCCUACAGCCUGAUCUUAGGGAGGCAUUUUCUUUUUUUUUCUUUUUUCUUUUCUUUUUUUUUUUUUUUUGGUUCUUUUUUUUCCGGAGCUGGGGACCGAACCCAGGGCCUUGAGCUUCCUAGGUAAGCACUCUACCACUGAGCUAAAUCCCCAGCCCCAGGGAGGCAUUUUCUUAAUUGAGGUUCUCUCAUUUCAGGUGACUUUAGCUUGUGCCAAGUUGACAAAACCAUCCAGGCACACACUUUGACCCCAGUAAGUCAUGGAGGCAAACACGUAACGGCAAACACAUAAGUAUGUUUAUUGUUGCAAUGUGUGUCAAAAGACUUGUGGCCUUCUGAUGACCUAUAUCAAAUGAGCACUGUGAGUUAGACACUGCUCUUUUUACCUCCAUUAACUCAUUUGUGAGGACUUGAUGAGGUGCAUAGCAUUACUCUCCUUUUACAGGCUAGUAAACCAUGGUACAAAGGUGUAAAUUCCUCACCAAAGAUCACACGGGUAGAAAACGGCAGUUAUAAUUCGAAUUUGUCAGCUUGGAACUAGUACCUGUGUGCUACACUGUCUCGCUUAGAAAUAUAUUUGAUAAAGUUUUAUCAUAUAUAACACUCACAAUAUACAACAUAUUUAUAUCAAUAUUCAUGUAAAUAGGUUAAUACAUACACAUAUGCAUUAUUCUUGGCAUAUAUGACUUUUGUUUCCUGCCUAUGGUCAUACAAGAAUUAUUUGCUCACUUUAGACAUUCUUAUUCUGAAGAACAUUUAGACCUCUAACUAUUCAGAGUCCCGAAGAGGUCAUGGGUGUGUCCUCUGGGUGCCGUUUCCCCCUUCAGAAAGAAGAGUUCAAAUGGAAAUAAAAACAAAACCAAACCCACACUAGGAUUCUAGUGCAAGUCAAAGAGGGAGGGUCAGCCAAGAAAACCCGUGUUCCUUGCAAACUUGGCGGAUGGGAAGUUGGCGUAGAGAUUAAGAACCGGGCCUUCAUAACUCUGUGCACUGGGAGACUGGUACCCUUCAGGCACAUUUCAAACUGUCCCCACAGCUCCCUGGUGCCUUUACAUACCAACUAUGGUCUACUGCAAGCCCAGAAACAAGCUGUUUUUUUUUCUCAACCUAGUUUCUCUGAUUAUGCUGUACUGAGUUAGAGAAUGCAAGUUCAAGUUGCCGUAGAUUGGGUCUGCGAUGUACCCCAAACGCCCAUGAGGAAGAGGCUCAGUCUCCAGCUUGGUUCUGGCAUGGGAAUGGGAGAACUUCUAACCAGCGAGGACUCCUGGAAGGUUUUGGUUAUUGGAGACAUGCCCUCAAAGUGGGCUGUGGGACUUUGGUCUCCUCCUUUCCUGCACUUCCUGUCCCAGGCAUGAGGGAGUACUUUUGCUCACCUACGAGAGGCCACUACAGUUUAUUACCCAGCAAAGCAUGAAUUGAAACUUCUAAAUCUUGAGCCAGAAGCCACUGUCCAUCCUUAUGAGGUAGUUAUCUCAGAUGCUUGAAUUUUCUAUGUUUUCAUGCCAUAAUUUUCUUUACACAUAACUUAAAUCCCAUCACCAAGAGUCGGAAAUUUCUAUAGAAUUUCAUCGUGAAGUUCUCAUUACAUUUAGUAAUCCUUCUUUAAAGUCACAUUGUUCCUGACAUCCACUCUUACCACCUCUCUCAAAUAACAGGGUCCCAGGCCUUUGGUGGAUACACACGCCGUCUGGAAUAAAAUUAGGAUCCUGGCUUUCUUGGCAGUUGGGUUCAGCAGAUGCAGGCCUUCCAGCCAGUGAAAUAGAAAGGCAUGUGCACUGUACACACCUCCCUGUACGGACUGGGAAAUGAUUUAUUUCUUAUUUUUUUAAGAUCUAUUUAUUUUACAUAUAUGAGUACACAGUAGCUGUCUUCAGACACCAGAAGAGGGCAUCAGAUCCCAUUACAGAUGGUUGUGAGCCACCAUGUGGUUGCUGGGAUUUUAACUCAGGACCUCUGGAAGAGCAGUCAGUGCUCUUAACCACUGAGCUGUCUCUCCAGCCUCGGAAAUGAUUUCUUUUUUUCAAUUUUCAUUUUUGAGACAAUGAGUCUCUAUGUAGUCCUGGAUUUCCUGGAACUUACUAUGGAAGACCAGGCUGAUCUCUAACUCACAGAGAUCCAUCUGCCUCUGCUGCCUGAGUCCUGGGAUCAAAGGCAUGUGUCCCCAUACCCUGUCUGGGAAGUGUUCUAAGAGGCAUCCCUUUUGCUAUCUGGAAUGUGGAUUUAAUGGCCAGAGCUUCAGGAGCUAUUAGAAUGAAAACCAUAUAUUACAGAGAGACUAGUUAGAGGGAGCUGGAUUCUGGACACACAGCUCAUAAGCUGUGGCUUGUGUCCCACCCAGCCUAAUUUUCAGGGCCAUAGUCUUGAGAGGUGAUUAGGUAAUGGAGGCUCAUUAGUUCUGAGGGUUAUUGUAAUAACCAUAGUGGAAUAGCUUUGUUAUGAAAGUGAGUUUCUCUGUGCUCUCUGCCUUCCACCUUCUGGAAUCGUGUAGCAUUAGAGUCUGCUCUUCAGUUUUGGCCUUCGCAGGCAAUAGAACCUUGAAAGAUAAAUUCCUGUUCAUUACAUAUUAUCCAACCUCGGGGAUUCUGUUAUAGCCGCACAAAACAUUCCAUGUAAACCAUAUGCACAGAUGUAAACAUCGCAUCACGUAAGCCCUGGACCGAUCCUUUCUAGUCUUUUCCCUUUUCUUUUGUCAGCAGGAAAACAUUCUACCACAGAGUUCUCUGGGCUACAUCCAUCUUUCUUCUUACCUUUUGUCUUGAGUCAAUGUCUCACCAACCCGGCUCAGUUUAAUUUGUGAGCCUCAGUGGGAUGUACAACCAGAACCAUAGGCCUUGCCACUAGGCCUGGCUAGUUCUAGGCCUUUGAAUGUAAGAGAGGAACUUUUAUUCUGAUUGUUUUUUUUUUCUGUUUCUUGGAGCCAAAGAUAAUUUCAUCUCAUACACGUAAUACCUUCCAAAGCAAAAUUAUUUUUUUCCAGAGUAACAGAUGCCAAGCAGGGGAAAAGGCUCUGAGUUAGCCUUCUAAUAUUAAGACAUUUAUGAAGAUGCUCUUGACUUCAUAGUCUUUUAUAAAAAUGAUUUGUGUUUUAUGUGCACGAGUGUUAGCCUACAUGCAUGUCUGUGUACCACGUGCAUGCCUGGUAUCUGCAGGGGCCAGGAGAGGGUGUUGGAGCCUCUCGAACUUGAGUUACAAAUGGUUGUGAGCUGUCAUGUGGGUGCUGGGAAUAGAACCUGGGUCUUCCGUAAGAGCAGAGAGUGCUCUUAACCACUGAGCCUCCUCUCAAGCCCGGCUUUACAAUCUUGGAGGGAGACUGAGCAGCCCUACUUACCUCGAUGGUGAAGAGCACAGGCUUCAGAUCCUCGUAGGUGAUUUUUAUCUUCUUAGUUGCUCGUUUUGCCUGAACAUCAGUCUCUGCUACCACAGCACAGACGACCUGGCCCACACAGAGAACCUGUAAAGUACAUACGUAAACAAUACCUGUAAAGUUCAUACAUAGACACACAGCACCCAUAAAGUACAUACAUAGACACGCAGCACCCAUAAAGUACAUACAUAGACACACACCACCCGUAAAGUACAUACAUAGAUAUGCAGUACCCGUAAAGUUCAUACAUAGACACAUAGCACCCAUAAAGUACAUACAUAGACACGCAGCACCCGUAAAGUACAUACAUAGACAUGCAGUACCUAUAAAGUACAUAUGUAGACAUGUAGCACCUGUAAAGUACAUACAUAAACAUAGAAUACCAUGAAGUGGGUAGAGGGAGAUGGCUCUCAGUGUGUAACAGGGCUUGCUGUGCAAGCCUGGGGACCUGAGUUCAAUCCCUGGGACCCACGUAAAGGUAGGUGGAGAUAGAAACAACUCCAUUAGGUUGUCCUCUGACCUCCACAUGUCCCACACUCCCCACUAUACUAAUGAUAAAUGAACCAAUUUAAGUAAUUUUAAGGCAAUAGAACAGAAGCCAAGCUCAAUCUCUCCAGUGGUCGGUGUCUUAGAUGUCAUUGUUGAAAAGAAAUAGAUACACUGGAGUUACAUGGGCUUGGGUACAGAUUUUAUUUAUUUUUUUUUUUUGGUUCUUUUUUUCCGGAGCUGGGGACCGAACCCAGGGCCUUGCGCUUCCUAGGUAAGCGCUCUACCACUGAGCUAAAUCCCCAGCCCCUGGGUACAGAUUUUAAAAUAGUGAAAAAGGAAGGUGGGUUGUGCCUAGUGAGUGUGAGACCCUUGGUUAGACCGACAGCACCACACACAAAAAGCGCAUAUUAUAGAUUUUGCCCCUGGCCACUGUAUUCAGUAUUCCCAGAUGUUGACUGUAACAUGAACCGGCUGAGUCUCCUGCAUGGUGUGUUCACAUGAAUUCUUCGUCCUGUCAUUUAAGAGCUUACAGUGUAUGUGGUGGCCCCUGCUGUGAACUGACAUACUAGUCACUCAACAACUGAGUGUGUUGAAGCACCUAUGAGAUAGCAUUUGGAGACAGGACCUUUACAGAGGUUAUUAACACAGAGUGGGGCCUUUGUACAAUAUGACUGGUGAGCUAAGAAGAGAGUGAACAGAGAAAAGGCACCAUGAAGACAAGGAGCACCAGUCAGCAAGCACAGAGACUGCAGAAGCCAGACCUGCUGACACUGGCUUUGGCUCAGCUCUAGAAAAUCCAUUUCUGUUUCAGCCUCGCAUAUGCAUUUUUGCAACUUUUUAAUGUUUAUGUACAUAGAUGGUUUGCCUGUGUGUAAGUCUGUGCACCACAUGCAUGCAGUGCCCACAGAGGCCAGAAGAGCAUGUUGCCUGGGGAACUGGAGCAACAGACAGUUGUGAGCUGUCAUGUGGGUACUGGGACUCGAACCCAUGUCUUCAGGAAGAGCAGACAGAGCUCUUAACCACUGAGCCACGUCUCCAGCUCCAUGUUCAGGCAGUUUUAUUAUAGCAGCCCCAAUAGCCUGAUAUAUGACAGCCAACCUCUUUUGAUGGACUCAACAAAAGACCAAAACCAAAACCAAAAAAACCCAACCAAACAACCAAAAAACUCAGUAAUGUCUUCCACAGCUGGAGGAGAAAGUGUGUGGUUGAUUGAAAUGUGACAGUAGUGACAAUAGCCAGCACAUCAUGUGCCAACCAUUGUCCUAGGCACCUCGUGUGUGGUCACUUGUCUAACUCCUAUGAUACAAUGGUCAUUCCUCCUUUAGAGACGGUAAACUCCCAGGGCACACAGUUGGUUUUAAUGCGGGAACAGAAGCCAGCUGCUCUGGCCCCAAGUCAGGGUGGUCCAUAAAUGAUUGCUGCAUUUGAAUCAAAAGCCCAGAGACAGCUAAGACAACUUAUUAAAAAUGGAGCAUGUGAAGGAAAGAGAGAACAGGUUUGGGAAGGGAGAGAGUCCAUGUAAAUAAAAGGGCAGGGCUGUGGUCCACUACCUCCUUUCUAGAUCUUUCUGGGACAGUGGUUCUCAACCUGUGGGUCUCGACCCCUCCAGAGGUUGAAUGACCCUUCCAUGGGGGUCUCAUAGCAGCUAUUCUGUAAUAGCAGAUCCUGUAUAGCAGCUAUUCACAUUAAUAUUAAUGACAGUAGCAAAAUUACAGUUAUGAAGUAGCAAUGAAAUAAUGUUAUGGUUGGAGUCACCACAACACGAGGAGCUGUGUUAAAGGGCUGCAGCGUUCCACUGUUGUAGAGCAUUCUAUCCUGGUAUAGAUCAUUUCCUUGUAUUUACUCUUCAGAUAAGGGCAAAUGAACUCAGAGGUGCACAGUGGCUGAUCAGAUCUGUGUCAGUUUUUAUGUUAUUUCCUAACUUCAGAAAAGCAAGGUAGAAUGGUGGCACUUGGGGAAAGAGGAGGAGCCAGGACCUUGGCACCAUCGGCAUCUCAGUGGUAGAAAACUCUAGGAGGCUAGGUUAGGUGACUGACAGGGUCCUUAGGUGACCUGCAUAGGUGUGUGGGAAAGCAUGUCCCACUCAUACCUUAUCUACAGCCAGUAAUUUGUCAUCCUCUUCACCAUUGUUGCCCGGGAUGUCUUCAGCUGUUAUCACAUCGACCACACCAGGCAGGUCUAGGACCUCAGAUGAGUCGAUCGAUCUGGACACACGGAGACGUUUAAGGAGACCUGUGCAAACGCUGAGGGCCUCAAACCCAGAAGUCCUGCUGCAGGGCCAGGAUGCAACCCUCUAGCUGCCGGAGAGGGGCAGAAAGGCCGGUCCUCUCAGGAAAUGUACGGCUGUAUUUAUUUCCUAUUCAGUAACGAGGGUGCUGAUUCAGUGGUAUCUGAGUCAUGUGUGAGGCUUCGAGGAGAUGAGGCAUUAUGACCUCAGAGAGUAAACAAGAGGCCCGACAGUUUUUACUUUUUAGUUUGUGAGAUGAGGUCUCAUGCAGCCCACAUGGGCCUGGACUUAGCUAUGUGAGGAUGACCUUGCACUGGUCCUGUUGCCUCGGCCUCCUGAGUGCUGGGAUUACUGUGGUUUAGAGCUGUGCUGGGUUUAUGUGGUGCAGGGGAUUGAACAUGAGCGAGUGUUUCAGCACUCUACCAACGGACGCGCAUCCCCACCUCCUGUGCUUUUGUUUGUCUGUUUGUUUUCAGGAGAGUCUAUUCUAUAUAUUUUCCUUCCUCCUGGAGCAUUUCGGAUCAGGGCAUUGCAGAAAAGGGCACAUUCCCGUGAGGCAUCCCCAGGUAUAUUGUAAUGUCAAAAUUAACCUGUAAGCCCCACCUGCUCAAGAACCAGGUAACUUCUUGGAAUGCUGGGAGUUGUAGUUCUUGGAAAAUAAUAAAGCCUCAUGGGGAAGUACAGAGGCCUGUAGGUUUGUCUUUUUAAGGUGCUACUAUACCUUAGGGCCAUUUUCAGGUGGGAAAUUCCAGGGAAUGGUCCUGACCAAAGCCCAUCUCUUGGUCAAUAUUUAAUAUUUAGUAAAGCUUGUUUUAAUUUGGCCCAAAAUGGUAGAAUUAAUUUUUCUCUGUUCAUGACUCUUUGGAUUAACUGAACCUUUAAAAGGUUCUUGGAAGUUUUACUUACAUGAUUCUUGCAUGAGCUCUGGUACUGGUCACUAAAGCCAUGAAAAGUUCUUUAUCCACCCUGGGGAUGUCAUCACAAAAUACAGCUUCCCCCGUGGCAUGUUUAAGACCUGACAGGUGCAUGAUGGGACGUCCAACUGGAUCUUGGAGAGGUUGGUGAGAAUUCACUCUCUACAGAAGAAGAGAGAGUUAGCCCAGAAAACUUUCAUCUCAGGAGGCCUGGCUGACUCGGGGAGGAGGCCCAGGACAGUCCCUUUGGGCCACAAACAUCAGAGCGAGUCAGAGGAUGAACAUGACCAUUUCACGAUGUAACUAGAGUGAGGCACUGUCCUCAUCCUUCCAAUGACAGACCUGCUUGUGUGCAUCAUUCUGAUGAGGCCUAAGUGACAUGGCACGACCGCAGAGGGAGACCAAAGUCUGUGUGAGAAGACUUGACAGGGGGCAGAAAGCCAGGGGAAGUUGAAAGAGUUUAUUCUGGAGCUUUUCUCUGCGUGUUAGGUGUCUAACCAUGGACAAAUGGCUAACAGAGGUGCCCAUUUAACAUAGCAAAGCAGACUCUGGCCACAAGACUCCCUCACCCCCACUCACAAGUACCUGUACAGAGUCAUGCUGGCUGGCGUACCUCACUCUACUCUCGCUUCUCCGGCCUCUGAGCUUUACUUCUGUUUCCUAGCUUCUCUGAUUUCUACAUAAUCUCAGCCAUCUUGGAUUUUGUUCUCUUGGUCUUUGGCUUCUUUCUUACCCCCCUGCCCCCAUACCUCUCCCCUCCUCUCUCUUCUUUUGAUUUCCCCCACCCCUUCUCACGGACAGAUUCAGUCUUGACCCUUCCAGAUGCCUCUGGCUGUUCUUUCCCUCAUGUCUACAAUAAACCCUACCUCUUCAACCACACCUAGGAGAGCUGUGUCCUCAUUUUUUCAUUCAGUGUGUGUGUGUGUGUGUGUGUGUGUGUGUGUGUGUUGGGGAGGGCAUGCACCAGCAAGAACAGCUAUUUUCUAAAUUGUUCUUCCAGAAGGGUGAGCUUAGUCACUUGCAGGCCUCUUGUUUGCUGACUGGAGAUUAAACACGUGCAGUGUGGGCUAGAGACUGAACCUCUGGGCUUAGCUACUCUUCUGGGUAGGUAUUUAACAAAUACCCAAAGAUAUCACUUUAGAGUAAUUAUGACUCUGUCUGCAGAUCCGUCUGGCUGUGCAGCCUUGUGUCCUCCAGCUCCAGCUCUUGGGAGCCAGAGGCUACUGACUUGGAUUAGGAACAAUUAGAAAGAACUAAAAGCCACCCAUGUGAAGAGCUUGCCUGGUCCACACAGUUCCCUCUUAUCUCUCAGUGUAGGUUUCAGUGAAUCAAACUCACUGACCUGGUAUGUUUGGACUCCCUGGGGUAGCGUGACCUGGAAAUCUCCCAGAGAGCUUCGGGACCCGUCUGCGAUCUCUGGAUAACGCUGGCUGUCCUGGAAUCACUCAGCACAAAGAGAGAGACUGGUUAGUCUGGUUCAGGUUGGGUUUGGAUUAUGUAAAAACUUCUCCUAAUGUGCUGAGGGUGGCCUAGUUACCCUGCCAGGGUUUCACUUUUUAUGACCCUGGUGCCCUUCCACCCUCCCAUCCAUGACAGGGCUUGGGUGACUGGUUUGAAUCUUAUCCUCAAGUCCCUGGAGGGAUAGGUCUGAUAGUGAACUUAGAGGUGGGGGUGGAGGGGUGUUGCUAGGAAGAACACUCUAGGCUGGAGAAGCCAUCCCAGAACGAGCCAGAGCCCACGGCUCACAAAAGGGAGAAAGCUUGGUUAAGGCCUUCUGACCAGGAGCAUGUGUGAGAGCAGCUCUCACUGUCCUCCAAUGCACUUACGGUGGAUUCAGGGAGCAGCCUCUUGUCAGCCUUCAGUUCCUGUAGAACCUCCAGGUAGAACUUGAAGAAGAAGCUGACAAUGAGAGUCCUCCUGAAUUCCACUUUGCCUCCCACGGCUGAGCCUGGGAGGGAGACUUCGUCCAGGAGCAGUCUGCAAGCCUCGUCUAGCAGCAGUGCGUUCCAACGCCUGGCACAGUGUGAGGUGAGAAGAAUCAGUUAAAGGCUGUUUGAUUGCAGGGGUUCCCUUAGAAUCACGAUUAACAAGGGACUUUGGAAAAAAAAUCAAAGCCUGAGAGUUGCUCCAGGAGGCACAAGAAUCGUGUCUGGGAAUGGGGCCUUCUCCAUUGCAGCAUAAGUCAUGCAUGUUUUAAAGUCAGAAUAUUCUAGAACCAUUCCAGAAUAUUCUGGAGCAGAACAGAAUUCACACUUGGAUGCCCUACCAGGGAAGAAAUAGCGUGAGCCCUAUGAUAGGAGCAUUGGGUGUUCUGUGGAGAAGCCUGCUGGGUGUUCAUUUGCAGGAGAAAAGGGGGCUGAAUGAGAAAACACAGGCUGUUUUUGUUGUGUCCCUUGCCCCAAAAGUGGCUUAAUUGAAGCCAAAUAAUGUGGAAUUAACUGAGCAAAACUAAAGAAGGAAGAAGCAGUGAUCUUCUUUGAGCCUGAGUUCUGUCAUUCCAGGGUAACAGUUGUCAACGGUUGUCAGGGCCAAUUGCUCUUCCUGUCAUUGAGGUUCCCUUUAAGGCACAGGACUCACCGGCCCAGGAGCUGCUGGCAGGAUCUGUGUGCACUGACGGUGGUGGGCCCCACCCCUCCAUAGGCAAUGCUCAGCUCCUCAAUGAUGUCUGUGCCUUCUUUGAACAGGACUCUCAUGCCAGCAUUUACAUCAGGCAAGGCGUUCUGAUGGCACUGGGCCUGCCGGAAGGCAGACACAAACUCCCGCUGAGGAGACAGAAACCACUGGGGGUCAUUUGAUAUAUCAGAAUAAAAAGCUAGGUUUCUUCCCAGGUCCUCUGCAAGAGCAACAAGUGCUCACAGGGCUGAGCCAUCUCUAACUCAACCGUUUUCCUAUUUGCUACCUUUGCAUGCCAAAGUUUCUGUCCCACAGGAAGGACUACCAAAGAUCAACCAUUGCUGAAAUGAAACUUAAGACUUCAUUACAACCUGUGAGUGUUGUGUGUGUGGUGCGCGUGUGUGUGAUUGUGCUUCUUUUAGAGACAAGCACAGCUUUUGGGAAGAGGCCUAUGGAACAGAGGGCUGAAGGCCACUUCCAUAGCUAGCUGGGUGGCCACAUCCACUUUGGUAUCCCUGGCCAGUGAACAUCUGGAGGCCUUGUGUUUCUAUGAGUUGUAGGGGUUGGCAGAAAUUCGGGGCUGGGAAAGCCAAGUCUGGGGCUCUGGCUUCCUGUGUGUCAGGUAGAGAAGCUCCGUCUGCAGCUGGAGAGCCUUUACCCAUGGAAACAAGCGGGCUUGGGAGCAUGACCACAGGCAGGACAUACCCUACAGCUGCAACAACUACUAAACCCCACGUCCCAGCACCGCUUAUGCAGGGCAGUCCCAGAGGCUUUUGGUGAACCAGUUUGUAGUGGGUUAGAAACAGUUUUAGGGGCACAGUCACCUUCCUUCCACCUGUCUGCAUAUGGCAGAGAUGACUUCACUAUGGACGACGGGGAGAAACAACUUCAAGGCCACUAACCAGGUUCUUACCUUCUGAGAGUGGGGGAUGUACACCGACCCCAGAAUCUCUUCAGGCUUCAGGUCUUCAUUUGCCAACCCAGCAAGAAAAUGUCCAUUGAGGGGAAUCUGCCUCAGGCCUUCUGUGGAAGGAAAUGCCAUUUCUAUACAACUGAGGGAAAGGCAAGCCUGUUUCACACUUUCAGAGGUUGGCUACCAGAGGAGAAGGCACACAACCUCUGUUCACAGAGACUGAUGCAGAGGUCCCAGUCUGUGACACUGCUCCACGUCCCCUUUCCCUCCACUGUACGUGACAUUUGUUUCCCUGUCAAUGCUCACGCCAUACCUACCAGCCCUGUGGGUUUUCAUCCUUCAGCAGAGGCUGGCUAACUAGAAUGGUGGACAAAGGGUCAAGGCUGAGGUGGAAUUUAAUGCUAACACUGGCUUAACUUCACUGCUAGCACAGUCAUCUGCUUUUCACACUUGGUUUUGUGUUCUGGACGUAAGCACACCUUUAAACAGCUUGUCAAAUCUCCCUUGUGCUCAGUUGUCCCCUCUUGGGUCCCGAGCAUUAUCCUCUGGCUUUAAAACAUGGUUUGCCCUUUUAAAGGCAUAGGCCAGUGUUCUCAACCUGUCCUAAGACUAUUGGAAAAUACAGAUAUUUACCAUUCAUAACAGUAGCAAAGUUACAAUGAAAAUAAUUUUAUGUUUGGAGGAGGGGGGUCACCACAACACGAGGAACUGUACUAGAGAGUUGCUGUGUUAGUAAGGGUUGAGAACCACUGGUCUAUGUCCUGAAAAGGUCAAACUACAGCCCAGGGAUGGCAUGGAUUCUGUGCUGACGUGGUCGUAAUUGGGUGGAAAAUCCCAAAGUCCCUGCUGAUCCCUGCCUUGCUGCUAAGUCCGUGAGCUGAGAUCCUGCCUUCUCUGGAGGGAUGGGGUUCUGCUCCAGCUUUGGUAGAGUUUGGAAAGUAGAAACCGUAAGUCAAAGGCAACUACAAAUAUCCCAUAGGACAUUGUUACCAUUGUCAUAGCAGAAGGCCCUGGGAAGGGACCUCACCAUCUUGGUAUCCCCAGAGCCUUGACCUCUUGACUGUUUUGUGUAUACUGGGGUCAUCCCAAGCUGCAGGCCUCGUGUCUUCAGAGAGGAGCCUGGCUCAGUUAGUACACUUAACCUUCUAUGCCCUCCCUCCUAACAGAAACCAAUCAGGGAGUGGGGCCUUAGCACUUUUUUUCAGCCCCCAAAUCUUUCCCCAUCACCUCUGAGCUCUGAGCAGUGAGCGACAGCAUUAGGCACUUCAGGGAGCCUAGAUGUCCAUGGGGGCAGAGGCUGUGGCAGCUUUCUCUGUUUCCCUAUGCCUGGGAGAUGGCAGUGAGUCAAGAUCUGCUGAGGGAGUGGGAGGGACAGAGGACAGAGUAUUGGAUGGUAGUAGGUAUUCAGGGAGGAAAGAGGAGGGGCAUUUCAGAGCUGGAAGCCCUGGAGACAGGACAGCAUGGUUUGGGGAGAUGAACGGAAGUCAGACUAACAUUGGUCCACAUCUGCUAAGGUUUCAGCCCUAGUCUCUCUCAAAAGUUAGGGCCAGAAAGAUGGCUUGGGAGAAAGAGCAAUUGUAGCCAAGUCUGAUGACUUGAGUUCAAUUCCCCAGGACCCCUUUGGUGGAAAGAAAGAACGGUCCACUUGUGCACUGUGAUAUGCAUCACACACACACACACACACACACACACACACACACAUACACACACACACACACACACACUCAGACGCACACACAAGGUACAAUACAUUAGAAAAAGAACACCUCAUUCAGCUCACGGAAUUUAACAGGGACUGUAACAAUGAGGUGAUAGCUGGGGAAGCUGUGGUUGAACACUUACCCUGGCCUGAGAUGGAACUCUGGCGUGAGAUUGGGGGGCUGUUUGGGGAUGACUCAGAUUGGAUGUAGAUUGAGGGAGGAAGGCAGGUCCUUUGCUCUCUUAAGCUAAAGGAAGACAUCCUCUGAAACCUACCCACUCCCCACCCCACUCUCUCUCUCUUUUUUUGUUUUUUUGAGACAGGAUCUCUUUACAUAGUUCUGGAACUCUGUAGACCAGGCUGGCCUUGAACUCAUAAAGAUCCUCUUGCCUCUGCCUCAUGAGUGCUGGGAUUAAAGGUGUGUACCACCAAGCCUAGUUCUCACUCACUUUUUAAAAGAAUCUAAUUUUAUUGUUAGUUAUGUACAGUUAUGUUUUAUGAGGUUACCUGCAUGUGAAUGUGGGUGACAUCGGAGGCUAGCGACACCACAUUUCCUGGAACUGAGUCACAGGUGGUCAUGAACUACCUGACGUGGGAGCUGGGAGGGAACUCAGCAACAGCAGGGUACGUUCCUAACUGCAGAUCCACUUCUCCAGCCACGUCGCUUUACUUUGAAAGACUGGGUUUUAAUUUUUGAAAAUGAUAUAUAAUAUAUAGCCACACGUCUCUGUGGACAUGUACCAUGAGCGCAGGUGCCCACAGAAGCUGGGGGCAUUGAGUCCCCCAGGAACCAGAGCUGUAGGCAGAUGUGGGUGCUAGGAACUGAACUCCAGUCCUCUGCAAGAGCAGUGUGUACUCUUAGCCUCUGUGCCAUCUCUGCAGGACCCUGAAACCUCACUCUCUGUUAGCCUUUACACACCAUGCCUGGUCAAGCAAGAACAGUGAACUAACACAUGAGCAUAAGGUCGUGUGUGUGUGUGUGUGUGUGUGUGUGUGUGUGUGUGUGUGUGUGUGUGUGGUGUAUGUGUGUGUGUGUGGUGUGUGUGUGUGUGGUGUGUGUGUGGUGUGUGUGGUGUGUGUGUGUGGUGUGUGUGUGUGUGGUGUGUGUGUGUAUGUGGUGUGUGGUGUGUGUGUAUGUGUGUGUGUGGUGUGUGUGGUGUGUGUGUAUGUGUGUGUGUGGUGUGUGUGGUGUGUGUGUGGUGUGUGUGUGGUGUGUGUGGUGUGUGUGUGUGUGUAUGUGUGAACUGAGAGUUGGUGACCUAGGCUACUACUAAAUGCAGUUCCUUAAGAAAAAUUAAAAAUGUAAUUAAAACCAAAAGGCUCUCUAAAGGCUUCCCAGAGUGCAGCUUACCUUCUGACAGCAGAUUGAGUGUGGCGUUGCCCACAGAGAGGAUGGGAUUCAGGUCCGAGUAGUAAUGCCUGCUUAUAACAUGUCCACCUAAGGACUAGAGAGAGAGCAACAUCUUGGUUAGUGUCUCAGAUCAGGACAUUUGCUCAGAAGGAUCAAGAGGAGUCUUGGCCAGUUCUGUCCUCAGGGGUCGGUAGAUGUUGGGAGGCAUCUCUUAGGCUUGUUUUGCCUGACCCUAUUUCUCUGUUAGAUGUGCUUCCAACCCCCAAACUCAUCUGUCACCCUCUCCUUGACAUCACGUGAGUUUUGGAAAAGUCAACGACAUCUGCUGACUCCCGAGGGCUAAGGAUCUCUGUUACACCACCCAGUGGAUGUGGGAGAAGUGGCAUGCAUGUGUGCUUGGAAAACCUCAUGACAGUGAUUCUCCAGCUGUGGUCUGAACCACAAAGUCAAAGGCUGGCCAGCUUUCUGUAGGUACUAUACUUCUGUUAAUGAAACCUAAGACUAAAUCAGUCUUUUUGACAGGUUACCAAGAAAUUAGCAAAGCCAUGAUGGCCUUUGUGACCCGUGUUCUUGCUUAGCUACUGUGUUGAAUUUCAUCUAGAAUUUUCCUGAACGUUUUACUAAAUGUCACUUAUUGAUUUAAAAGUCUCUGUUAAUUGGUCUGUCACUUUAACCCGUCGAGCUUUCAGCUUAUCCCAUUGUCUCAAUGAUGAGAAACAACUAUGUGCCCAGAGACUGAUAGCCAUGACCCACCGCCAUGUUCCGGAUCUGCUGUCCCGCCAAGCUACGGAGGUGUUUCAGGAGAGCUCGGUAGGUCUGAGUUUUCUCCUCUGGGAGCUCAGAGAUGCUCUCAGCUAAGACGUCUUUCACCUGAGCCAGGCUGCAGCAGGCACCUAUGGUCAGUCCUGGAAAAGCAGGUUGUUUCAUUGGCACGAAGGUGCAGAGCCCACAUCACUACCCUAAGGUCUCACUUAACAUUUGGUUAGUGUGCUGACUGCCGUGUGUGUGUGUGUGUGUGUGUGUGUGUGUGUGUGUGUGUGUGUGUAUGUGUGUGCGUGCACACAACCUUGGUUAGCAAUCCUGGUUGGUUUUAUUUUAUUUUAUUUUAUUUUUUUGGUCAAAGUCUUUCAUUGAUUGAGAGGUCUGCCUGUCUCCACUUGCUGACUAUUGUGAUUACAGCAUGCCCUAUGCCCUAUUUUGCUCAGAUAUUGUAUGUGGAUUCUGAGGAUUAAACUUAGAUUUUAAUGCUUGCAAGACCCAGAUAGCUAAGCCAAUUUCCCCAGUCUUGGCUAUAAAACUUUUAAAAGGCUCCAUGGUGGUCCAUCUCCUGUGCAACUAUGGAUGGGACCCUGUGGCCACACUCGUCUUUGGACAAGUAUGAAGAAGUAGAGAUAGGAGAGAAGAAACGUUGGCAACAACAUGCCAGUGGUAGACCCGGCUAGAACUUCCAUGAUCCUUCUGAAUGACCAUGAUUACUAUGUGGUUAAGGAGAAUAAAUCUGAUAACAUUAUCACAAUAGCAAAGGACAUUUUGAAUCACUAGGUCAUGGUCUAAAAAUCAACAAUUAUUUUUCAGAAGGAAUGGGAUUUUAUGGAACCCUGAAGGACAAACAUGAAUGGCCUUCUCUCUGGCUUUAUGGGUCUCACAGGGUUUAUGGUGAUGCCAAUUUGAAUCUGACAUGACAGCACCACACUAGGACUCCCCGAGAGGAAUGGCUCUUGAUGAUUCUUAGCAAAAAAACAUGUGAACAAUUAACCAAGUGAUGACCAAACCAAGCUUCUAUUUACCAGUGAAGACAUGAAACAGGCUGUGUAUGCCUCUCCACGUAAAUCACCCCACUCGGGGUGACGUUUCAGUAUAUACUGGUUUGAAAACAUUUCAAAAUAUAAUAGCUCAGGAAUUUAGGCCACGAAGACCCAAACAAGGAUCAAAUUAGUAACAUUUUGGCUGCGGAUUUUCCAACUCUGAUAAUCAUAACCUUCAUGAAUCGGUCCAUGAGGGACACUGGCCAAUCAAAACAUACACAUCCCAAGGGAGCAGCUGCCUCAGACUUCCCAUUGGUGGAUGGUGUUGGGUUUGGGGAAGUUCAGGGGUCACAGCAAGGGGCAAAGGGAGCCAUGGGUGAGCAUCCAGGAGGAGUGGGACAGUGCUACUUGCCAACUGGCCCAGAGAUUAAUCAACGUUUUGACAAUAGUUGGAGUUAAACACGUGAGCAAGAACUCCAGGGUUUCUCCUCAGUAGGACGAAAGGGUUCAAAUCAAUAUAGGAAACUAUGUGGCCACUGGAACCACCCAGGUUUGACCUUUUCAAGUAAGUCCUUCACCUCUCUCAAGUUUACAUAAUGAAACCCCAGCACACGGGGUUUGCGUUGAGUUCGCUCGCAGGCUUGGGUAAUAACUGCUGUGAGUCUGAAUUUCAGCAGGUUUCAGGGUGGAUUUUGAAUUUUCUCCUGUUGAUUCAUCUUUGAGAAUAUUCAACACUCCCACACAGCUAUGUUUUAUCAAUAUUAAAUGUUCUUGGCACAAUGCAUACCGUGUCUUUGCCAACACACCCCAUCACCCCCCCCCACUGCUUCACUAACCUCAGCUAACUUCCCGGAUGGAGAAGACCAGUGGCUUACCAUCCACAGGCCCAGAAGAUCUCACCUGAAAUCUGUGACUGAAUGGCCCCUCCUUUUCAGAACGUCCGCCUGGAGUUCUUGCCUGUCUCGGCAUCUCAUACAAGAUAACUCUUAUGAGAUCUGGUCUUUCCUCAGAACCCCUACCUAUGGCCUGUUGAUUCCUUACCUCCAUGGAUUCUAUUGGAAUCAACGGUUCACUUCUGUAAAACCUCUGGCCUUGGCCAGAGUAGCCCAUGCUUGCCACCCCAGCAUGGGGUGAGACAGGCUGAUUUUGAGGCCAGCUUGGCCUAUCUAAGGAAACUGUGCCUCAAAAUAAAACAAAACCGAACCAAACCAAAAUGGUCUUUCUAACGACAAACUAAAGCUCAAACCCAAGGGCUGGAGAGAUGGCUCAGUGGUUAAGAGCGCUGACUGCUUUUCCAGAGGAUCCUGGUUCAAUUCCAAGCACAUGGCAGCUCACAACUGUCUGUACCUCCAAUUCCAGGGGAUCUUAUACCCUCACACAGGCAUGCAUGCAGGCAAAUACCAAGGUACACAAAAUAAAAAUUAAAAAAAAUGCUCAAACCCCAAAUCCCUGCCUUAUCUUUGCAGGAGCCUAGCAGAGCUAAUCUUGUUCCCUGUCAAAUGAUUAUUUCCGAGAAGACCCCAGCCCUCUUUAGGGGAAAAAAAACCAACAAAAAAACCAAAACAAAACAGACACAACAUCUUACAGACAUCUUCAUGCUGUCAUUUAGGUCAGGAGCUUUAUACAGAGACUGGAGUGGCUCAGCGCUGCCUUGUUGGCUUCUUGUUGAUUUUGUUUUUGAGGCAAUCUCUUGUAGCCAAGCCUGGCCUUGAAUUCUGAUCUUCCUUCCCCCUCCUGCCAAGUGUUGGGAUUCUACGCAAGAGGCUUGGAGCCACGGCACCCUGCUCUUGCUUCUGGUUUUAACACAGAUAACAGCAAGAACAAGAACAAGAACAAGAACAAGAACAAGAACAAGAACAAGAAGAAGAAGAAGAAGAAGAAGAAGAACAACAACAACAAAAACCAAUCAAACAAACAAAAAACCCCACUCAGCUUAUCCCUUUGGUGGGCUCUGAGCGCCAUCUCUCUGCUCUGUAUCCCACAAGAGUUCAAACUCUGACCAAGGCCAGGCAGGCCAUCCGGGCCUUUCUUCUGGUGUCUCCAUGUUCACAUUACCUCCUCAUGGUGGUUUUAUAUGAUUUUUGUCUUUGGUCACAACACUUGUUUUGCUUUCUGAUGGACUCAGAAAGCUCUCCGACUUGUAACUCUGCCUCGUGGGCCCACAGCGGCGACCCUGGGACACUUCAUAGUAAUGAUUUUGAAAGAAACCUAGACUGAGCCAACCGUGGACAUAUGAAUGAACAUGCAGGUUAAAGAAACCUUUACAUCAGAAGUGAUUAACGUCCAGAUUUGACCCCGGGGUGUGUGCUGCUGUGAGCACCUCUGGUUUCAGUUCACCCCAGGGGUGCUCGCACUCUGGGCCACAGGAAGUUUCCUGAAGGCCACUAGAGGGCACUCAUGCCUUAGCUUUAGGUGAGUCAUUGUCCGCACAUCGCACAGGCUUCAGAGCCUGGCUGGCUUCCUCUAGCUAGGGGCGAAGCUGGGCAAUUAAUGUGAAAGGCGCUUCCGGCCCGGGGGGUGGGGGGGGGGAGUGGCGAUUCUGAACUGUGAGCGGGUGACCUUGUAACCUGAGGCCCUUGGGCGAGCACAUUUUCUUUUUGCACUGCAGGUUCUUCAUGUAUAGAGGAAAGAGUGGGUUAUGCUGAGAAUUGUGAAUUGUGCUCCGAAAGGCCCUUUUGGGGCCUCAUAUAAGGGCCCCAGAGGCAGGAGGGCUGAGGAAAAGCCACCCUCUCCUAUGGAGCAACCUAUUUCAUUACUUAUUUUAUUUAAAAUUUGAAGACUUAAUGCUGAUUCUUAGUAUCAGAGGAAAGUUGGGAAGUAGGAAGACUUGGCCAGUGCUCGGCCAAAGUGUACGGCUCUGGCUGCAACCUUGGCUUUGGUCCAGAGGUUUGCAGUGAGACACACUUUCACUUCAGAAAAAGUCUGCUGUGUGAGCUGGGCCUCAUAAGUUAGAUGCCCGAGGAUGUUCUGACGAAUUCGAACAGGUGGAGGUUAGUGCAAGGGUCAGUCAUUCCUAGAAGGGCUGGAACUCACCACCACUGGUUUUAGUCACCAUUCUUAGAUCAGGAAUUCUAGCAGGGGACAGGAGAACUGGGUAAAAGUGUCCUUGAGACUUCAUGGCUGGUCCUGAAGGGGAAAAAAAAUGCAUUUUAGAGAGAGUCCUUUAGAAAGGACUUUUCUUUGACAUUGAAAAUUUCUUGUAAAAACAUUCAGAAAUAAAGCUUAAACUAGGAUAAUAAAUGUGUAUGGGAAGGAAAGCAAUGACCAUAUAACCCUCUGCCCAAUGUACAUGUUCACUGACUUAUACUCCUGCUAUGCUGUACCAGCAGGAAAGAAAAGUGUGGGAGGCUCCUAAACGCUCUUCCACAUAGGAACUUGGAGAGGCUUCUACGAGUGUUUGUGACUGGGAGUGGUGGUGCCUUUGAUCUCAGCACCCAGGAGACAGAGCCAGACAACCAUCUGACUCCUGAGGACAUGAAGUGCUUCAUGUGAACAAUACUUUUUAUAUGCAAAUAAGGACGUGCCCUGGAGGUUUGGAUAAUCUCUAUGAGACCUCAGAACCUGAAGUCUUCUACUUAACCAGGGACAGCACAAGGCUGUUCUUGCUAUGUUUGUUUAUUUUUAUAAGGGCAACCACAAUGAUUUGGAACAUUGUUCAUUAUAAUUCACAUGGAACCUUUAUGAAAGGGAAACAGUUUAAGUGCAAAAGGGAUGUGCAGCUGGUUGCUUGGGUUCUCGGGAGAAACAUUCACCAAAGCAAAGCAUGGCCCGAGUCCUGAUGUUUACAGACACCUCAGCGGCACUGCAUAGAUGCUCAACUGGCGGCAAGUGUCUGGACAGCUGGCUAGUCCACAUGACUUCCCUUUGUGCUUCUAGACCACAUCAAAGUUGGUGUAAUGCUCACCUGGUCUUCAGCAAGUCCUGGCAACUCCACUUUGACCACCUGUUCUUCUCAUUCCUACUUCAUAUGAUGUGUCUCCAAUCACCCACCCUUGUGUACUCACCAUGCAGAAGGUUCUGCCACUCUCCAGAAUCGGCCGAUACCCAGUACACCGACAGAGAUUACCUGAUCAGAGGGGAAACAUAGCUGUGAAUUGCUUAUCCCUACUGCUUAUUUUUUUCAGAUUAUUAUUUAUUUAUGGGUAUGUGUGUCUGUAUGUGGAUGCUCUUGGAGGCCAGAAGAAGGUGUUGGAUUUCCUGGGGCUGAAGUUAUGGGUGGUUGUGAGCCACCAACCAAUGUGGGUACUGAGAACUGAACUCCGAAAGAUCAGCAAGCUCUCUUAAUGACUGAGCCAUAUCUCUAGACACUCUACUGGAUUCUUUUAAAGACUGAAAUAGAUCUAAUAGAUUUCAGUUCUGGGGAAUAGAACUUGGGGCCUUGGACAUGUUAGGAUAACAUUCUACUUCUGAGUUAUGACCCCAGCCAUGAUGUUUAGCUAUUGACAAUAACUAUUUCAAAUUAUGUAAGACAGUGAUCUUUUAAAAAAGCAAUUUCCAAGGUGAUACUAGACAAACAAAGCGUCACAGAUGGUCUGCCAGGUGUGUUCCUCAGAGGCUCUUAGGUCGCUGCAUCAGAAUCCCCUGGUUGUAUUCGUUAAGAACAUGAAUUUGACUUUCUGGAACCCAAGCAUCUGGAGACAGGCCCAAGAACCUGAAUUUGAGAGACCAGCGGGCCAUUCCGCUACAUGCUAAAGUCUGGAAUCCUCACGUUUCCAAGGAUGACGGUGAACGUCUGAGAGUUCAUAUGCUAGAGUUCAUCUCUGAUGGCCUGACUAAGAAGUUUGGGCUCAAAAGAUGCGAAAGCUAUAGGUGGAAACACUGAAACAGACAUAGCAAGAGUCCAGGAAAGAAUUGUUUCUUGCACUGACAAUAUUUGGUAGCCUGUUUUUAAAACAUCAGUAGAGGAUAUGCAUUUGCUCAUAGACACGAGGUUAAGACACAUGGAUGGACCAAGGUGUGAAUGUUGAAGGGUCGUCUCUGGGAAUCUAAAAAAGAUCAAAAGGUCUUUUGCUGGCAGGUCAAAUUGGUUGCUAUGUGCAGACAACACAUCAGUGUUCGUUUGCCCCUGUGCGGCUGAGGCCUGCAAGCAUCGUUCUACCUUGUGAGCCCCGGUCAGACAGUCCACUUCAACCUCAGAGCAGGCUGCGCCAUAGACAUAGUACGGGGUUUUUCUUGAUGAUAGGUUGAAGACGGUCCAGAAGAGUCUGGCAGGCAUUCUGAAAAGCAAAUGUUUGGAUUGACAUCAGAACUAAAAGCACAAAAGACAGCAAAACGUUAAUGAUUCAAGAGGAUUUUAAUGGCGGCUGUUUUACAGACUUGUUUUUGUCUCUUGUAGGGUGUCUUAAGUUUGGUUAAGGUGUGGGCUUUCUUCAGAAGAAAAUGUCCUGCAGCACAUUGGUCAGCAGUGUUGUUUAGAUGUGCACUAAGUAGAAGGCUCCUCGGAAUUAUUGUAAUUCUCCGUGUCCAUUUACACAAGGGAAAUGAUGUCGUGCACACCAGUCUAUACACUAAUCAAGUUUAAAAUAACAGCAGUAACUUAAUUGAAAUACUGUUCUCUUCUCUCUCUCUCCCUCUCCCUCCCUUUUUUCCUCCCCCCCCUUUCUCUUUCUUACCAAGACCUCAUUCUAUAACCCUGCUGGCUUUAGACUCAUGGCAAUCCUCCUGUCUCAGCCCCUGAGGACUGGGUCUACCAUGGCUGGCUUAUUUUAAUUUUUCUUGUCUCAUAUAUGUUGUGAAUAUUUUCUUUAAUGUGUUGUAAUUUUUAUUUAUGAUCUUAUUGGAUAGUUUGUGUUUUUCUUAAAAGAUUUACUUUGUUUGUACAUAUGUGAAUGGGAGUCUGUGUGUAUGUACACAUGUGUGUGUGUGCCUCCCAAGGCCAGGGGAGCCCUGGCUAUGCUGGAGCUGGAGCCACGCCGGGGCUGGAGCCACGGGCGGUUUGAGUUUCCCACUGUACCUACCAAAUUCUAGUCCUCUGGCGAGCAGCAAGCGUUCUUGUCCAGUGAGCAGUGUCUCCAGACCCCAAGUUUAUGUUUUUAUGAAGUCAAAUUUAUCUAUCUUUUUUAUUUCUGUGGUUUCUAAGUUGAGAUUUGCUUUACAAUAAAGAUUUUCUAAUGCCAAGAUCAGAGAAGAAAAUGUCGUUGUUAAAAAGAAGAAAAAAGGCAGCAGGGGAGUAUGGAGAGAUGACACACAGGUCAGGAGCUCUGGCUGCCCUUCCAUGGACCCAGAUUCAAUUCUCAGCACACAGGCAAAACACCAGUGUGCGGGAAAUAAAAAUAAAUAUUUAAAAAAGAAAAAA